rnacentral:rRNA from 1 species
GGGCAAGUCUGGUGCCAGCAGCCGCGGUAAUUCCAGCUCCAAUAGCGUAUAUUAAAGUUGCUGCAGUUAAAAAGCUCGUAGUUGAACUUCGGGAUCAAAUUGUCGGUCGUGCCUCGGUACGUACUGGCGUUAUUGGUUCCUCCCUUCUGAAGAACCACGAUGUCAUUAAUUUGGUGUCGCGGGGAAUCAGGACUGUUACUUUGAAAAAAUUAGAGUGUUUAAAGCAGGCUCGCGCUUGAAUACAUUAGCAUGGAAUAAUGAAAUAGGACGUUUGAUUCUAUUUUGUUGGUUUCUAGGAUCGACGUAAUGAUUAAUAGGGAUAGUUGGGGGCAUUAGUAUUCAAUUGUCAGAGGUGAAAUUCUUGGACUUAUUGAAGACUAACUACUGCGAAAGCAUUCGCCAAGGAUGUUUUCAUUAAUCAGGGAACGAAAGUUAGGGGAUCGAAGACGAUCAGAUACCGUCGUAGUCUUAACCAUAAACUAUGCCGACUAGGGAUCGGACGGUGUUUCUAUUAUGACCCGUUCGGCGCCUUACGGGAAAC